rnacentral:rRNA from 1 species
UACGGAGGGGACUAGCGUUGCUCGGAAUCACUGGGCGUAAAGGGCGCGUAGGCGGCCAUUCAAGUCGGGGGUGAAAGCCUGUGGCUCAACCACAGAAUUGCCUUCGAUACUGUUUGGCUUGAGUUUGGUAGAGGUUGGUGGAACUGCGAGUGUAGAGGUGAAAUUCGUAGAUAUUCGCAAGAACACCAGUGGCGAAGGCGGCCAACUGGACCAAUACUGACGCUGAGGCGCGAAAAGCGUGGGGGAGCAAACAGG